rnacentral:sRNA from 1 species
UGUUUGCUAAUGACUAGUUGGCAGGCAAAGGGAAGUAGCAGUCAGCUUGGCCCGCAGACUGGAAAGGAGCGUGUUUUUCUGAGAAUGAAAACAUUAUUUGGUGACCAACAUACACGGGCAAACUGAGACUCGGAAAAGACUGGGCUGCUGAGGAAGAUUGGAAAUUCAAUCCAGGUGUGACAAGCCUUGCGUGAUGUGCUGGCAGUGGUGGCUCUGUUUCAGUGGGAUUCCCUUCCACACAUCCUGGUGGAAUGGCUACUCAUCCAGGAGCUUGGACCUCUCACCCAACAAAGCCUACGGCAUCUAUGCAUGUUCUGCCUACAGCGGGCCAGAGAAUACACAUGGUCUAAGAUAACGUGGAACUAAUUAAACACAUGGAUGGACAAAUAAGUCAAACCGGGAUGCUUCUCUAACUCAUCCAAGAAACCUCCAGAGAAUUAGGGCUGUCUCUAUUGAUAUCUUAAUUGCUCUGAAUCAUCCUGGCUCCUCUAGAUCUCAAUAAAUAACAACCUGCAUGUAGCACACGCUUUGAAAUGUCUUCCUUCUAGUGACCCAGAGUUUAUUAUUUUUCUGUUGGGAAAAGAAACUCACGCUGCCAUAUUUCAAAUAUCCUGAGAUAUAGACCCAUUUUGUAAGUGUAAAAACAGUAAGAAAUGCUGAUAAGUAAGCAUGAGGUUCAGCUCAUUCAAGUAAAAAUACCCUUCAUAUUCUUUUACAGA